rnacentral:rRNA from 1 species
AUACGGAGGGUGCAAGCGUUAUUCGGAAUCACUGGGCGUAAAGGACGCGUAGGCGGGUUGGCAAGUCAGAUGUGAAAUCCUACAGCUUAACUGUAGAACUGCAUUUGAAACUGCUAACCUAGAGUAUGGGAGGGGGAGAUGGAAUUAGUGGUGUAGGGGUAAAAUCCGUAGAUAUCACUAGGAAUACCGAAAGCGAAGGCGAUCUCCUGGAACAUAACUGACGCUAAGGCGUGAAAACGUGGGGAGCAAACAGGAUUAGAAACCCUUGUAGUCC